AUACGGAGGGUCCAAGCGUUAAUCGGAAUUACUGGGCGUAAAGCGCGCGUAGGCGGUUUAGCAAGUUGUAUGUGAAAGCCCUGGGCUCAACCUAGGAACUGCAUCCAAAACUACUAAGCUAGAGUACGAGAGAGGAGAGUAGAAUUUCUGGUGUAGCGGUGAAAUGCGUAGAUAUCAGAAGGAAUACCAAUGGCGAAGGCAGCUCUCUGGCUCGUCACUGACGCUGAGGUGCGAAAGCGUGGGUAGCAAACAGGAUUAGAUACCCUGGUAGUCCACGCCGUAAACGAUGACAACUAGCCGUUGGGCAGAUUUAACUGUUCAGUGGCACAGCUAACGCAUUAAGUUGUCCGCCUGGGGAGUACGGCCGCAAGGCUAAAACUCAAAUGAAUUGACGGGGGCCCGCACAAGUGGUGGAGCAUGUGGUUUAAUUCGAUGCAACGCGAAGAACCUUACCAAUCCUUGAAAUCUAGCGAAGUUCGCAGAGAUGUGAAUGUGCCUUCGGGAAC
rnacentral:rRNA from 1 species